rnacentral:rRNA from 1 species
CUACGUGCCAGCAGCCGCGGUAAUACGGAGGGUGCGAGCGUUAAUCGGAAUAACUGGGCGUAAAGGGCACGCAGGCGGCUAUUUAAGUGAGGUGUGAAAGCCCCGGGCUUAACCUGGGAAUUGCAUUUCAUACUGGGUCGCUAGAGUACUUUAGGGAGGGGUAGAAUUCCACGUGUAGCGGUGAAAUGCGUAGAGAUGUGGAGGAAUACCGAAGGCGAAGGCAGCCCCUUGGAAAUGUACUGACGCUCAUGUGCGAAAGCGUGGGGAGCAAACAGGAUUAGAUACCCUGGUAGUCCACGCUGUAAACGAUGUCGAUUUGGGGGUUGAGCUUUAAGCUUGGCGCCCGUAGCUAACGUGAUAAAUCGACCGCCUGGGGAGUACGGCCGCAAGGUUAAAACUCAAAUGAAUUGACGGGGGCCCGCACAAGCGGUGGAGCAUGUGGUUUAAUUCGAUGCAACGCGAAGAACCUUACCUACUCUUGACA